AGGUGUGGGUGAUUAGAGUCUCUUUGUCUGACUCCUGGUAUAUGUGUGGCAGGUCAACACUGUUUGUCCAGAUUUGUAGUGCAGCUGUGUCCUGAGCCGUCCAGAGUGAUGCUCUGUAACCCCAUACUGAAAAGGGAAAGAUUCAGCCUUUUGCCCCUCCCCCAGUUGAGCCACAGCAGAGCCAGUGAUUGCUGGGAAGUAGGGCCCUGAGGA